rnacentral:rRNA from 1 species
CACGUAGGGUGCGAGCGUUGUCCGGAAUUAUUGGGCGUAAAGAGCUCGUAGGCGGUGUGUCGCGUCGGCCGUGAAAACCUGCAGCUUAACUGUGGGCGUGCGGGCGAUACGGGCAGACUAGAGUACUGCAGGGGAGACUGGAAUUCCUGGUGUAGCGGUGGAAUGCGCAGAUAUCAGGAGGAACACCGAUGGCGAAGGCAGGUCACUGGGCCGCAACUGACGCUGAGGAGCGAAAGCAUGGGGAGCGAACAGG